UUCGACACACUAUCAUUAACUGAAUCCAUAGGUUAAUGAGGCGAACCGGGGGAACUGAAACAUCUAAGUACCCCGAGGAAAAGAAAUCAACCGAGAUUCCCCCAGUAGCGGCGAGCGAACGGGGAGGAGCCCAGAGCCUGAAUCAGUGUGUGUGUUAGUGGAAGCGUCUGGAAAGGCGCGCGAUACAGGGUGACAGCCCCGUACACAAAAAUGCACAUAUUGUGAGCUCGAUGAGUAGGGCGGGACACGUGGUAUCCUGUCUGAAUAUGGGGGGACCAUCCUCCAAGGCUAAAUACUCCUGACUGACCGAUAGUGAACCAGUACCGUGAGGGAAAGGCGAAAAGAACCCCGGCGAGGGGAGUGAAAAAGAACCUGAAACCGUGUACG
rnacentral:rRNA from 1 species